UACCUAAACCAAGAGCUUGCUCUCGGCACGGUAUUAAAUCCAUUUGACACUAACAAGCUCGCCGUAGAGCACUGUGUCAAAUGGUCACGGCUGGAAACGGUCGUGGGUGGCUUAGGCCAUC
rnacentral:sRNA from 1 species